rnacentral:misc_RNA from 1 species
GUGAAUCAUCGAAUCUUUGAACGCAUCUUGCGCUCGCUGGUAUUCCGGCGAGCAUGCCUGUUUGAGUGUCAUGAACUCUUCAACCCUUCAAUUCCUUGUCGAAUUGUAAGGUGGUUGGAUUCUGAGUGUUGCUGGCCUUGAAGUGUGUUGCACUUCAAACGGCGGAGCUCAUUCGUAAUGCAUUAGCAUCUCAAUUUCGAAGUCUUCGGAUUGACUCGGUGUAAUAGACUUUAUUCGCUGAGGACACCUUUCGGGUGGCCGAAUUUCGAGGUGGAAGCUUCUAAAUACCCUCUGAAGUCA